ACGUACGGCCAUAGGUCAAAUAGUACUGGGCAUCCCGUUCGCUGCCACCACAUAAGCUUUGAAUUGGUAGAUUAGUAGUUAGGUGGGUGACCACUAGCGAAUACCUACUGCUGUACGUU
rnacentral:rRNA from 1 species